GCCCCCCUCCUCUCUUUCUCGAGCCCUCUCACUCACCCUAACCGCUUCCCUCCUCGCCUCUCUCCCCGUCGCCGUCAUCGACUUUCCAUCCGCGGCUCCAGAAAUCACCGGCUGCCGACUGGCCUCUCGAGCUUCUUUGAAGCAAAAGAGGUUUGCGAGGCUAGAUAUACUGGUGGCGGUACUAAGUUUUGGGGUUUCGGCGACGCCGUGACGGCCGCGAGGGAUGUUGUGGUGAAGGAGAGAGAGGCGUAUGGGUACCGUGAGACCUCUCUUUCUCCUUUGCCUUUUUUUUCUUUUCUAUCGCCUCUGUCUCGCCGGAGUAAGAGCGCGGAGCAGAACGUCGAGCGCAGCGAGGCGAAGCGGGAGAGAGGCAAUGUCUACUUCGCCCGAUGCAAAUUCAGUCGACGCCCUUCGCUCCCGGAUCCAUUCUCUCCAGGACGACAAUCUAGCGCGCGCCCCAUUGGAAACGCUUCUUCCUCCUUUCUUUUCUAUUUAAAAUUCGAUUGCGAUUUCCUUGAAGCUGUAACUCGAUCGAGCGGUUCGUACCCGCACGUGUGUGUGGGAGUUUCGAUUGCCUGUACGAGCUGCCGCGUGCUAACUCUGUCGGUUUCGCGACUUGGCCCCCAUUGCAUUUCAGGAGCUGGAGAAGCAGAACGCCGACCUUUCUUCUCGACUCUCUGGAUGUUGCUGUCAAAAGAUGGAAGACAAGAUUGGUUGUGUCGUAGACGGAGGCGGAGUGGUUGAUGGGAAUGGCAAAUCAAUGAAGCUGGACAAGAAGACUGGGAAGAAAAAAGCCAUAUUUUAGUGAAUGUUGUGAUACCUCCUGCUGCAAAUUUCAAAACAGGAAUUCUCGAACACCAUCCAAGGCGAUAUGUUGCUCUAAGAUUGAUGUAUUUUGGACAAAGGUUUUAUGGUUUUGCCUCUGAAGCACAAUUGGAUCCAACUGUCGAGUCUGAAAUUUUUAAAGCUCUUGAGAAGACUAAGCUUUUAGUUGGUGACAAGAAAAAGUCACAGUACUCAAGAUGUGGCAGAACAGACAAAGGAGUUUCAUCUGUUGGACAAGUCAUUUCCCUGUUUGUACGAUCAAACCUGUGACCUAAGAACACAGAUGAUGCAAACAAUUGGGGACUUUCUAUAGAUAGAGAUGGUUUAGCUGUAUGAGCAGGGAGUACAAAUAUUUCUUUUGGAGAGAUAAUUUGGAUAUUAGGGCAAUGGAGAGUGCAGGCCAAAAGUUUGUGGGGAUCAUGAUUUCAGAAAUUUUUGUAAGAUGGAUGCAUUUAAUGUCCACAACUACAAGCGUCAUAUAACAUCCUUUGAACUCUCUUCUUGUGAUAAGAGGUUGGUCCUGGUAGAUGUUUUUUUGAGAUCUUUAUAAGUUAAGAAAAGAUGCAAAGAUGCAUCUAUAUUUUUUGUUGGUAUGACGAAAGAGAAAUCAAAAGGCAAAAAAAGGGCCUUUUCAUUUUGGCCAGUUUCUCUCAUGUACAAGUUAUUAUAUUAAUAAGACCAAUCUAGUUUGCAGUGUCUUUUCUGAUUUUAAUGAACU